CCUACGGGGGACUGCAGUGAGGAAUAUUGGUCAAUGGCCGCAGGGCUGAACCAGCCAAGUCGCGUGAGGGAUGACGGUCCUAUGGAUUGUAAACCUCUUUUGUCAGGGAGCAAAGGGCGCCACGUGUGGCGCUUUGCGAGUACCUGAAGAAAAAGCAUCGGCUAACUCCGUGCCAGCAGCCGCGGUAAUACGGAGGAUGCGAGCGUUAUCCGGAUUUAUUGGGUUUAAAGGGUGCGCAGGCGGAAUGUCAAGUCAGCGGUAAAAUUUCGGGGCUCAACCCCGUCGUGCCGUUGAAACUGGCGUUCUUGAGUGAGCGAGAAGUAUGCGGAAUGCGUGGUGUAGCGGUGAAAUGCAUAGAUAUCACGCAGAACUCCGAUUGCGAAGGCAGCAUACCGGCGCUCAACUGACGCUCAUGCACGAAAGCGUGGGUAUCGAACAGGAUUAGAUACCCGGGUAGUC
rnacentral:rRNA from 1 species